rnacentral:rRNA from 1 species
GACGAACGCUGGCGGCGUGCCUAAUACAUGCAAGUCGAACGCAGUGGGGACGGGUGAGUAACACGUGGGUAACCUCCCAUCAGAGGGGAUAACACUUGGAAACAGGUGCUAAACCGAUACUGAUGGAUGGACCCGCGGUGCAUUAGCUAGUUGGUGAGGUAACGGCUCACCAAGGCCACGAUGCCUAGCCGGUCUGAGAGGUUGAGCGGCCACACUGGGAGUGAGACACGGUCCAGACUCCUACGGGAGGCAGCAGUGGGGAAUCUUGGACAAGGUACGAAAGUCUGACUGAGCAACGCCGCGGGAUGGAAGAAGGUUUUCGGGUCGUAAAACUCUGUUGGUAGGGAAGCGGUAUCUAAACAGAAAGCAACGGCUAACUACGUGCCAGCAGCCGCUGUAAUAC